rnacentral:rRNA from 1 species
UGGGGAAUUUUGGACAAUGGGCGCAAGCCUGAUCCAGCCAUGCCGCGUGCAGGAUGAAGGCCCUCGGGUUGUAAACUGCUUUUGUACGGAACGAAAAGCCUCUUUCUAAUAAAGAGGGGUGAUGACGGUACCGUAAGAAUAAGCACCGGCUAACUACGUGCCAGCAGCCGCGGUAAUACGUAGGGUGCGAGCGUUAAUCGGAAUUACUGGGCGUAAAGCGUGCGCAGGCGGUUUUGUAAGACAGAGGUGAAAUCCCCGGGCUCAACCUGGGAACUGCCUUUGUGACUGCAAGGCUGGAGUGCGGCAGAGGGGGAUGGAAUUCCGCGUGUAGCAGUGAAAUGCGUAGAUAUGCGGAGGAACACCGAUGGCGAAGGCAAUCCCCUGGGCCUGCACUGACGCUCAUGCACGAAAGCGUGGGGAGCAAACA